rnacentral:rRNA from 1 species
CGGGGUAGAGUAACACGUGAGUAACCUGCCCUUCACUCUGGGAUAACGUCGGGAAACCGGGUGCUAAUACUGGAUAUGACCUACUCGGGCAUCCGAUGUGGGUGGAAAGAUUUAUUGGUGGGGGAUGGACUCGCGGCCUAUCAGCUUGUUGGUGAGGUAAUGGCUUACCAAGGCGACGACGGGUAGCCGGCCUGAGAGGGCGAUCGGCCACACUGGGACUGAGACACGGCCCAG